AUGUCACGGUCGUCGAUGGGGCAUGGCGUGCGACAUGAGAUCAAGCAUUUCAUUGCUCAUUGUUUUGUCAUCGUGCUGCAACCAAACAAGCAAUAUGCACACUCGACUGUCGAAGGUCAAGGGUGCCAUACCCUCGAAGGUGUCGGCCUCUCUGUUCCUCAGCGGACUCUUGUGGCUCGCGAUGUCAAAACCCACAGAUUUGUGGGACAAAAGAAGGUCAUCGAGGCUAGGCUGGACACGCUAGAUGGAGCAGAGCAGGAAGGGGCUUGGACGGGACCGUACCGGCGGUGCGACAUAGUAGGCAGGAAUCCUACAAGCUAUGUACAAAGCAACUAA
rnacentral:rRNA from 1 species